UAUAUCUAGCGAAUCCCCGCCUCCCCCGGCCCUAGCAACCGCUGUGGCUUCUCUAGUGACUCAGCUUUGCCGCCCCGCCCAUCACCGAAAAUGAACAUAGAAGAAGAGCUUGCCUAAGGCAGUCUGUAUGGCGGGCUCCUGUCAUUUUAUUCUGGGCUCGAGAGAAUUGGACAUUUUCUGCAGAAAACGGCAGAAUCUGGUGGACCACGAUUCAUUGGCAAACCUGAUGAUUUACCACCCAAAGAAUGUUGUGACAUUGUAGAAGAGUGAGAUGGAAGCACA